ACUUGGCCACACAUCUCAGAGGUGAGCCAGCCAGCCAGGGAAAUCACUGCCUGAUUGCCAGUUCAGCACCCUGCCAACGGGAGCAUUGCAGGACUGGUCUUCAGGGCCCAAAAUGUCUUAGUGCCUGUCCUGUUUCAGGGGACAUUGUGGCAAGGAAUAGAACAGCCAUGGGGAAGUCUAAACAAUUUGCUGUCAGUUUGUUGCCUAGGAAAAAAAGGGCAUCUCCAACAGAGAGCAGUGCCAAGCCCUUCUGCUACAAGAGAAAUAAUCUACUUCAGAAUAUUUCGAGCCAGUGUAACUGAGUCAUGCUCCUCCUUGGAGACAACAGCACAGCAGAAACAAAUGCAAAGGCCUCGGGGCUUACUGUAUUCUCACAGCACUCACUUGCUGUGCAGCUCAACAAAUAAAGACAUUUCAGUUUCCUAUUUAACACAGGAAAGUUUCUUAAAAAAAUACGGAUGUUGCCACUUCCUGUUAAAAGGCAACUCCAGCCGACCGUCCUCGCCUUGACUCGAGGAUGCAGCGAGUUCCUCCAGCACCAACACAAGCUCACAGCGUGCCUUCAUCACCACAGGGAGCUGAAUCCUCGUGAAGGAGGAGCAGAUGUCCCUCAGCAUGGAAUUGUUUUACACCUGGAAAUCUCACCCAUGGCAGGAUGGUGGAACUGAAGUUUUGGGGCCCCUUCAACCCAAACCACUCUGGAAUUCUCUGAGAUGAUUCCCUGACCAGAUGGGCUGAAGCUGUGGACUACAUGGACAGACUUAACUCUCUCACUGCCAACACAAACGUGCUCAGAUCCAACACAGAAGAGAUUUCUUGUCACUUCAGGUUGCAUUGGCUACCAAACACAUCAAAAUCUAGGUAAUUCACAUGCCUCAAAAAGAAUAUUAACUGCCCCAAAUCCCAGGUGUCUACCUGGGGCUUAGUAAAGGAUUUUUUUAUUUUUUUUAAAGACA